AAAACAGAUGUUGUACAUAAGGCACUGAUUUCUCAAAUUUUUAGAGAAGCUGAGGUUUCUGGUAUAGUGGUGAAAUUGGAAUUAACUAAAUGUCAUGCUUUUAAAAUUCAGUUUUAUAAGGCAUUGGUCAGUACGCAACCCUCGCUCGAGCAACGUGCCAAGAAUUCUGUUUCUUCCACUAGAAAGCAAUCCAGUGAAGUGGUUAAAGAAAGAGCUCUACAAACUGUUCAGCUGGGAUAUGCGGAUGUCUUGGAUUAUCUUGUUAGAAACCAGAAGCUGGAUCUUGGUGUUGUUGAUAACAAAAACAGAAAUCUUUUAUUUUUAGCCACUAUAUAUGAGCAGUCUAAGAUUCUGGACUAUUUCCUUGAAAUGGCACCUCCUAUACCUGAUAUAAACCAAGCCGCAGAAAAUGGAAACGCACCACUUCAUGCUGCAGUAAACACUGGAAAAAUGCAUCUUGUAUCUUUGCUUUUGCACUACCCUGGAAUUAAUGUGAAUGUCCAGAAUUCGCAGUGCGACGGGGCAACUCCACUACAUCUUGCUAUUGUUUUUGGGCAUCUGGGAAUUUGCUAUUUAUUGCUGAAUGCUACUGCGGAUGUCGAAAGCCCCAUGGGAAGGCUGACACCUUUGCAACUUGCUGAAAUAUUUGGUAAUGAAACUAUAAUUGGCCUUAUAAAAAUGUACAUAAGGAAAUUAAAGCUACAAAAUAAAGUGUUUGCCUGAUGAGCUUCACUGAAGAAAAUUCCACAAAACCUUUUUUUAAAAUGUACUUAUUCAAUCUCUCGCUCAAUUGCUGUCUUGCUCUAUUUUGUAUUAAAGAUUCCUUGCCCCCCAAAACUUUGGAAGUUCUGGUGCUUUCUUCUUUAAAAGUACGAUAUUUUGUUCUAGUGGUACAAAAUGCUUUAAUUGGUCUUUUGUUUUGAUUUUAAUUUUUAAAUCUAAAGCUGCUCCCCAAUUUCUUGACUUUCUGGUUUUAGGACGGAGUGCAUUAGAAGAGACAAACUUGUGUAGAGAAAACAAGGAUCAUGCCAUUCCAGAGUGAAUAAUGAUGAGUGGUCUAGUGCAGGGGUCUCCAAACUUUUCAGUAUGAGGGCCACAUCGUAUAUUUUACACAGUUUCAAGGGCUGAAGGAGGGAAAGGGGACCCAAGCGAUCCCCUACCCCCCACUGUCUUUGUAAAGACAGCAGGGGAUGUGGGGUCGCUUGGGUCCGCUUUCCCUCCUCUCCCUAUGCCUGGGCUGGAUGAAAAGGCAAGGUGGGACGGAUGUGGCCCAUAGGCCAUCAUUUGGAGGGCCUUGGGAACUACCAUAUUUUUCCAUGUAUAAGACCAUACUUUUGUCUAAAAAUUUUAGACUAAAAUUUAGUGUCCUCUUAUACAUGGAAGUAAGCUGAGGAGAGAAAAAAACCAAGUGGAAGGAAAAGCAGGGAUCAAAGUGAUCCUGCAGGGCUUUGAUCCCUGUUUUCCCGUCCACUUGCUAAACCUUAGCAAAAGGAAAGCAGGGAUCAAGGCACUCCAGGAUGGCUUUGAUCCUUGCUUUCCCCUCUGCUUACUAAGUCCCAUGGGGCUUAGCAAGUGUAGUGGGAAAGAAUCAAAGCAAUCCUGCAGUGCUUUGAUCCCUUUCCCCCUAUACUUGCUAAACCCCGAUUUCUUAAUUAAUUUUGGGUUAGAAAAAUCGGGGCAUCUUAUACAUGGGGCCGUCUUAUACACGGAAAAAUACGGUAGUGCUCACAGGAGUCUCAUUAUCUGGGAACAUGAAAUAUUUGAGCAUGUUGGGGGAAGAAUGUCUGAGGAAAUGGGUUUUGAUCUCUGAAAGCUCACACUGAGAUAAAUCUGUUAAUCUUUAAGGCGUCACAAUAUUUUGUCCUCUCUUUUCACAUUCUCCUUUUCUUUUCUUGCCAAAAUGUAUAGAUCCUGCAGUCCUUAGUAAUGCAUUCAAGAGCUUUGCUUUACAAAAAUAUGCAUAACCUAGUUUUCAAAUCUUUAUCAGAGUUGUUUAUCAUAUUUAGAUUAAAAAAGAGAAUAUAUGAAAAACUGUGCUUGAGUCUAUCAAAGAUUGAUCUUGUCCUACAUAUGUUUUUAGAUAAGAAGGUCUCUGGAAAACCAUAGGUCUCUGGAAAAUUCCCAAGCAGGACAGGACAACAGAACUACCCUGUGCCCCAAUUCGUCAGCAAGUGCCACUGCCUAGUGUACUUCCUCUGAUAUGGGACAUAAUACAGUGGUGCCUCGCUUAACGAGCGCACCGUAUAACGAUGAAAUCGCAUAGCGAUCCGUUUUUUUGGAUCGCUAAUGCGAUCGCUCAACGAGCUUCAGAUAGGGAGAAUUUCGCUUUGCGAAGAUCGGUAAGCGUUUCGCUUACCGAUCUUCGCAAAACGAAGCUCCGACGAUCAGCUGUUUGAUGGACAAAAUGGCCGCCGGAAGCCUCAAAAUGGCCGCGCGCAGCAUUUUUGCGCCCUCCCCUCGCUUAACGAGGGCGCGAAAGUGGCUGCCGGCCAUAGGAAACCUCGCUGAACGGUGAGUAGAGGAGCCUUUUGGAACGCAUUAAACGAUGUUUAAUGCGUUCCAAUGGCUUUCCCUGCCCCGUUCAGCGAUGUUUCGCUAUAGCGAAGGUUAAUCCGGAACGGAUUAACCUCGCUAUGCGAGGCACCACUUGUACAAUAAUGAACAGUAACCUCUUUCUAACAUGGUCCAAUUUGCCAGCUACUGUUAUGGCAGUUUAACUAUGCAAACCAGCCCAUGUAUAUAGCACAGCUAUCAUAAUAACCAUGGAACUUGGUUACAAGCUGCAAAAAGAAAAAAGAAAACUACUGGCACUCCAAAAUGGAAAAUUCGGCUGUAAAGAAAAAUAAAGAAAUUACAUGCAGACA
ensembl:lncRNA